rnacentral:rRNA from 1 species
UACAGAGGUCUCAAGCGUUGUUCGGAUUCAUUGGGCGUAAAGGGUGCGUAGGCGGCGCGGUAAGUCGGGUGUGAAAUCUCGGAGCUUAACUCCGAAACUGCAUUCGAUACUGCCGUGCUUGAGGACUGGAGAGGAGACUGGAAUUUACGGUGUAGCGGUGAAAUGCGUAGAUAUCGUAAGGAAGACCAGUGGCGAAGGCGGGUCUCUGGACAGUUCCUGACGCUGAGGCACGAAGGCUAGGGGAGCAAACGGGG